rnacentral:lncRNA from 10 species
ACUGUGGAAUAUAGACCCAUAAUUGACAAAACUUUGAACGAGGCUGACUGUGCCACUGUCCCCCCAGCCAUUCACUCCUACUGAUGAGACAAGAUGUGGUGAUGACAGAAUCAGCUUUUGUAAUUAUUGCACAGCCAGAGGACAACACAUCACACACAAGAAACAGUUGUGCUCAUGUGAUGGGGGCCUCAGCACUAGGAAGGAGUGGACUGUUGGCGCACGCAGCAGCUUGAAUAAAUCUGAAAGUCACUACGCUGCGUAAGAGAAGCCAAAUAAAGCGCAUGCUGUGUACAGAGGGUGUCGAGAAUGCCUCCUACGUGACGGAAAGCAGAUCCGUGGUUCCCUGCAGACUGGCAGGAGCAGAUUCCAAAGGCACAGGAAGAAGCUUGCAGUACAAAGAUAAAAAUCUAAAGUGGUUGCUGUGGAGGACAGGGGUCAGUGGUGGAAGUGAGACCGAAAUAGACUCUGAAGUAAUAUCUGGACUUUGAAAUUGCGCCAACCCUGAGACAAAAAUUUGGAAGGUGGCCCUGAGCAGCAGCUGAAGGGAAGUGGGAGGCAGCUGCUCCCAACCCCAGAACCUUUGCUGUCUUGGGACGGAUCACCGCUGCAAGAGGGGAAGUUGCUACUGUGAUGAAUUCUGCCAUGUGGCACCAGACUGCCACCCAGACCACAGUGUCCUCUGCAACCCUGCUUCUCAGAUGACCAAGAUGGUGCUGCAGAUGGUGCUGAGGAUGGAGAACCCACCAAGCCC